rnacentral:lncRNA from 1 species
CGAAGUAAAUAGGCCAGUUUCUUCUUUCUGUUCAGCUCUGGGCUGGGUGUUUGGACAGCAAGAAGCGAAUGCCAUUUCGAUGACUCAGAAGUCCCUUUCUGACAAACAGACUGUAAGUGCCUUGUGGGGUGCCCAUCAUCUCAUUUGAGCCCCACCAAGGAGCACUAGAGGAGCCA